rnacentral:tRNA from 1 species
CGGCACGUAGCGCAGCCUGGUAGCGCACCGUCAUGGGGUGUCGGGGGUCGGAGUUUCAAAUCCUCUCGUGCCGACCA